rnacentral:tRNA from 1 species
UGGGCUAUAGCCAAGCGGUAAGGCAACGGACUUUGACUCCGUCAUGCGCUGGUUCGAGAAUCCAGCUAGCCCAGCCA